UACGUAGGGUGCGAGCGUUGUCCGGAAUUACUGGGCGUAAAGAGCUCGUAGGUGGUUUGUCGCGUUGUUCGUGAAAACUCACAACUCAAUUGUGGGCGUGCGGGCGAUACGGGCAGACUGGAGUACUGCAGGGGAGACUGGAAUUCCUGGUGUAGCGGUGGAAUGCGCAGAUAUCAGGAGGAACACCGGUGGCGAAGGCGGGUCUCUGGGCAAUUCCUGACGCUGAGGCGCGAAAGCGUGGGGAGCAAACGGG
rnacentral:rRNA from 1 species